GCCGGCGAGCGGCGGACGGGUGAGUAAUGCCUAGGGAUCUGCCCAGUCGAGGGGGAUAACAGUUGGAAACGACUGCUAAUACCGCAUACGCCCUACGGGGGAAAGGAGGGGACCUUCGGGCCUUCCGCGAUUGGAUGAACCUAGGUGGGAUUAGCUAGUUGGUGAGGUAAUGGCUCACCAAGGCGACGAUCCCUAGCUGUUCUGAGAGGAUGAUCAGCCACACUGGGACUGAGACACGGCCCAGACUCCUACGGGAGGCAGCAGUGGGGAAUAUUGCACAAUGGGGGAAACCCUGAUGCAGCCAUGCCGCGUGUGUGAAGAAGGCCUUCGGGUUGUAAAGCACUUUCAGUAGGGAGGAAAGG
rnacentral:rRNA from 1 species